AUUGUGCAGUCCCCCCACAGCAAACUCAGCAGACCCAGACUCCCAAACUGCAAACAAGAACGAAGGCAGCAUGAUUAAAUACCAGGCUCCUUGUGAUCAGCCUUCACGAGGAAUCCAUACGACAAACUAAAUUGUGUUGGGCGCAGAUACUCUCACCAUUAAGAGAGCGAGGAAACGUGGAGAUGUCCCAUUGCAAACUGCAUGUUGCACGCAACGCGACACAUUGCCCACGAGAAGCGCCAGCAUAAGGCAAAGAUCCUGCACACAAACAGGAUCCUGUAGAGGGCACUGUCUGUGCUAAAUCGAAGGCUCUGUCAUGCAAAAUAUCUUCCGCCUGUGACGUAUCGCUCAGCUAUAUGCCGAUGAUGCAGCUUCAAGUCACCCCGGAAGUUUGAAGUUAACCUUUACUGCCUCAGCAGGAGUUCACAUCAAUAAAAUACGUUUACAAAUGUUUGUUAGAAA